GAGGCAAGAACUGACGAGAGACACAGGGGUAGUAGGAUUUCUGGGCACUGUCGCGGGCCCAGUUGAGGGUGGAGACUGUGACUUCACGGUGACCCAGCCUGCUUAGCAUUAUGGAAAGUCCACAGCAAGGCCACGGGCAUGGGCUGGAGUGGAGGAGAGGCCCCGAGGAUGGGAGCCCAGGAUCCAGAGGGUCCUGUCACCUAUAGUUUCCCCUGCUAGUUCACCUUGGCUAUCCAGAGAAACUCGAGGAGGUGGAAGAAGCCUGGGCCUUAAUGUGGUGACCACAGGAACUCAGCACAGAUGCUGCUCUCAAAGCCCUCCCACUCUGUCUCACAGUGUUUCCCACAUGCCUGACCUAGUCAGAGGAGGAAGGGGCUGAGCUCUGACUGGGGCAUGUAGAGGCGCAGACAGCUUCUGAAAGGUAACCAGAGCCUUCUGCAGGCAGCAGGAUUUGUGAGGCUGCAGUUGGAGGGAGAGGUUGAGCUGUGAUGGAGCAACAGAAUGAGAGGAUCAGGAGACCGAGG
rnacentral:lncRNA from 1 species